AAAAACCUGUGACCAGUUAAACAGAAGCUUUCGUGUGUAUAGCCACCACUUCUCACCGACAAACUACAUGUCUGGAAAUUCAAACAAACUCUGCAAAUUUGCAUGUCCAGACCAAAAUCUUGGUGAGACCGGAACUUCAGAUGGUACUACUCCAGAUGACACCCCUGCCAGAUCAUCUUCAGGUAUAGUAUUAUAUAAGCUGCAAUUGUUCAGUGAUAAUGAAACCAUUACAGUACCUAUUUGAUAUGGGAGAAACUGUAUUGCAGCUCUGUGCCUCUAUUUUCAUUAAUAAAUCAACGAAAGCUUCACAGAAAACGUUGAUUUUGUCUAUAGAAUCAUGUUAUGAAAGCAGAAUACCCUUAAAAUGGACUUAAUUAAACCUCCCUUUUCCUUAGUCUAACCUAACCUAACCUGGCUAACGGUAUCUGCCCCCAUGGAUCCCCAGUAACCUUAAUCUUUUUACGUUUAUGAUAUGUAGACACAGUAGUAAAAUGGAUGUUUUUGAUAUGCGUUCUUGCGUGGAAACAGAGGAAAGCUCCAGAUAAGUGGAGAAGGGCAAUUAUCGUGCCUUUGCACAAGGGUAAAGGGAGUAAGAAUGAGUGUAACAACUAUAGAGAAAUAAGUUUGCUUAGUGUGCCAGGAAAAGUGUAUGGGGGACGCUCCCCGAGGAAGCAAGGCGACAGUGCUAUAGAUAUGUAUAAAUCUAUAAAUGAAAUGUGUUCUAUGAAGUUCUCGUUAGUGUAGUCGUAACAAUAGAGGCGUGGAGCUACAAUGCAGUUUUACUUUUUCUGUACUGUACAGUAGAUUACUGUUUUGUUCAUGUAUAAUGUGAUUUAUCAAUUUCCAUUUCUGAUAUACAGCAUCAAGAACAACCAAUAACACCACUAUCGAGUAUGUGACACCAUCUGAUGUGGGCAUAAACAUCACAUAUGACAAAGAUGAUGGGAGUUUUGGUGACCUAAAGGACGUAUCUGAUACUGAAGGUGAUGGGAGAAUGACUACUGUGCCACCUGCUGACACACGUGGUAACACAGAUGUUGCUAAUGUGACCUCAGAAGCUGCGGAACGUGCUUCAAGAGAACACCAUCAUCCUACUGAACAACUAGAGAUCUCUGAGCCUGUUGCACCAA